GGCACCCUGAGAUCAGAGGAUGAUAGAUCGGAUGGGACCUUGGUGGUCAUCUGGUCCAACUUCUUCAUUUGACAGAUGAGGAAGAGUGAUCUGCUCAGGGUCACACAACUAGUCAGAGGCAGGAUCUGAACCCAGUUGCUCCCAGAUCUAACCCUGAAAGCUACAGAGAGGAAUGUCUAACCGAUGGAUCAAUUGCUCUUAAAAGGAAAGAGCUUUCAUACUGCAAGAUUCUGGGCCGAGGAGAGAGCUGGUUGUUAAAACAUUUACCAACACCCCUCUGGCAAGAAGUAAAGUGA
rnacentral:lncRNA from 1 species